AGAUAUGAUUCGAGAGUCUUUGGCCAAAGCAUAUGAAUAUGACUUAGGAAGUUUGUUCCAAAUCAUAUUCAAAUGAAUCAUAUAGAUAAGUAUCACAUUGGAUAGUAGACAUGAAACAAACUAUCACCUGAAACAAUGUGAUUAAGAGUAUUGUAUUAGAGAAGGACCGUAUUGCAUUGUAGUUGUAACUAGAUAGGUUCUCCAACCACUUCUACUUAGCUUGGGUAACCAUGAUAUGCUGCUAGGUGUCACUCAUGGUUUGUGGAAGCCCUAAAGAUUAGCAAACACUGAUUUUAAGGGAGAAUUGAAAUGUGGUUUCAAUUCACAAUCGAUCGUUAAGAGUAACAAUCUCCCACUACCUCGCUAAAUGGAACCUAAUGGAUCGUACACCGAGUAAGGAUGUUGGUGAAGA
rnacentral:lncRNA from 1 species